rnacentral:tRNA from 1 species
GCGGGUGUAGCUCAACGGCUAGAGCUCCUGCCUUCCAAGCAGGACGUUGUGGGUUCGAAUCCCAUCACCCGCU